CCUACGGGUGACAGCAGUGAGGAAUAUUGGUCAAUGGGCGCGAGCCUGAACCAGCCAAGUCGCGUGAGUUCAGACGUUCCUCUUUCUUUUCAACCUCUUUUGUCGGGGAGCAAAAGACGCCACGCGUGGCGUUCCGAGAGUACCCGAAGAAAAAGCAUCGGCAAACUCCGUGCCAGCAGCCGCGGUAAUACGGAGGAUGCGAGCGUUAUCCGGAUUUAUUGGGUUUAAAGGGUGCGUAGGCGGAAUGCCAAGUCAGCGGUAAAAUCGCGGGGCUCAACCUCGCUCCGCCGUUGAAACUGGCGUUCUUGAGUGGGCGAGAGGUAUGCGGAAUGCGUGGUGUAGCGGUGAAAUGCAUAGAUAUCACGCAGAACUCCGAUUGCGAAGGCAGCAUACCGGCGCCCAACUGACGCUGAAGCACGAAAGCGUGGGUAUCGAACAGGAUUAGAUACCCUAGUAGUC
rnacentral:rRNA from 1 species